UACGUAGGGGGCAAGCGUUAUUCGGAUUUACUGGGUGUAAAGGGAGCGUAGACGGCACGGCAAGCCAGAUGUGAAAGCCCGGGGCUUAACCCCGGGACUGCAUUUGGAACUGCUGAGCUAGAGUGUCGGAGAGGCAAGUGGAAUUCCUAGUGUAGCGGUGAAAUGCGUAGAUAUUAGGAGGAACACCAGUGGCGAAGGCGGCUUGCUGGACGAUGACUGACGUUGAGGCUCGAAAGCGUGGGGAGCAAACAGG
rnacentral:rRNA from 1 species